CUGUCCUCUAGGUCGCUAUGGGUCGGACAACAAGUAGUUGAUGAUUAAUUAGCAGUGUAACUAAGAAGUAAGGCUACCAGUCUCCUCCAAACAAAU
rnacentral:snoRNA from 1 species